rnacentral:rRNA from 1 species
UACGUAGGGGGCAAGCGUUAUCCGGAUUUACUGGGUGUAAAGGGAGCGUAGACGGCUGUGCAAGUCUGGAGUGAAAGGCAUGGGCUCAACCUGUGGACUGCUUUGGAAACUGUGCGGCUUGAGUGUCGGAGAGGCAAGUGGAAUUCCUAGUGUAGCGGUGAAAUGCGUAGAUAUUAGGAGGAACACCAGUGGCGAAGGCAGCCUGCCGCAGCGUUACUGACGCUGAAGCUCGAAAGCGCGGGUAUCGAACAGG